rnacentral:rRNA from 1 species
AACGCGAAGAACCUUACCCACCUUUGACAUGUACGGAAUCCUUUAGAGAUAGAGGAGUGCUCGAAAGAGAGCCGUAACACAGGUGCUGCAUGGCUGUCGUCAGCUCGUGUCGUGAGAUGUUGGGUUAAGUCCCGCAACGAGCGCAACCCUUGUCAUUAGUUGCUACAUUUAGUUGAGCACUCUAAUGAGACUGCCGGUGACAAACCGGAGGAAGGUGGGGAUGACGUCAAGUCCUCAUGGCCCUUAUAGGUGGGGCUACACACGUCAUACAAUGGCUGGUACAGAGGGUUGCCAACCCGCGAGGGGGAGCCAAUCCCAUAAAGCCAGUCGUAGUCCGGAUCGCAGUCUGCAACUCGACUGCGUGAAGUCGGAAUCGCUAGUAAUCGCGGAUCAGAAUGUCGCGGUGAAUACGUUCCCGGGUCUUGUACACACCG